UACGAAGGGGGCUAGCGUUGUUCGGAAUUACUGGGCGUAAAGCGCACGUAGGCGGACUAUUAAGUCAGGGGUGAAAUCCCGGGGCUCAACCCCGGAACUGCCUUUGAUACUGGGUGUCUUGAGUAUGGAAGAGGUGAGUGGAAUUCCGAGUGUAGAGGUGAAAUUCGUAGAUAUUCGGAGGAACACCAGUGGCGAAGGCGGCUCACUGGUCCAUUACUGACGCUGAGGUGCGAAAGCGUGGGGAGCAAACAGG
rnacentral:rRNA from 1 species